CAUAUCGAUUGAGAGAAUGAAUGAAGGAUGGAACGAAUGAAGACAUUUGUUAAGACUGCAGAUUUACAGUGUUGUAAACAUAACGUGACAGUGGCUAUUGGAUUCUCGCUCAGGAGAGUGUGGAGUCUGAUUAGUUAUGUAAAACCGAACAUAUGGUCUUCAACCCAUCACUGCAGCACAGGAAUAAACGGACCACUUGAAGUUUUUUCGUUUCUAAUCAGCCACAGUGUCCAUGCACCUUACAUAAUUCAAAUAUUUAUCUACAGGUUUGCUAUAUUGGUUAUGUAAUGCUGUUCUGCAUUAGCUCGCUAUUCUCUGGGCCAUUUUCUGUUUAGCAAGAAGCACUCCAAGCAGAAAAGUUUGACAUUUUAAUAUUUUAAUAUUGCAUUACAGCUGGUGGACUGGAGACGUUUUAGUUUGACUGUGAAAGUAUAACAGAUUUGAAAAUGAUGUUUUAUUGAAUUUUUUUCAAAAUUGAAAUAAUUAGUGAUUGAUUAUUUCUACCAAUUACAAAACAAAUUUUACUUAAUGAUGAACAUAUGCAUAUUAAUUCAAUAUUUAUUUAUUAAGUUUCAAAUGAGGACAAUUAUUUUGAAGAUUAUUUAUUUGCUAAAUUAUUUGAAUUUAAUGUGAACCUCGUUAGGACUAAUUAUCAUGAAGACAGAAAGAAAAAAUAAUAAUAAUACGUGGUGUUUAAGUGUUUAAAAUGAACAGGUUGGGAAGAAGAAAUCGAUUUAACACCGAUUGUAGUUAUUAUGCCGAGACAUUUGGUGUCUGCUGCAUCUGCUUUUACUUGAACCGGCGCUACUAGGCUAAUGUACAUGAUGUAUAAUGUAAGUGAAACUUAAAGCUUUAAAUUUAGCCUUGAACAAAUCGGCAAAAAAAUAUAUAUUAUUAGUGCUGAGUGUGUCUCAUUUAGCUCUAGAGGUUAAGUUUAAAGUUUUUGCUUCAUGUAUAAUGUAAAAUGGAGUUAUUGUAGUAACCAAUGGUCUUAAGCUUAAGCUACAAACUUGUCUUAAAAGUUUUAACCACAUUUGAGUUUCGAUCUUGUUUUAUUGAUGAUGUGCGGAAAUUCAUUGGUUUGUUUUGCUGUGAAUGACCAGGGAGGGAAAGUAUACCAGCCCUCCUACUCCGAUAACAUGGCCAGUUUUAGUCUCUUGAACUUGUGGACAUUGAUGGUGGUGACAUCGGGAUUCAAACUGGCAAAUUCUAGACAAUAACAUUGUUUUAAAGCUUAGUAUUGAAAUCUACGCAUUUCAUUAAAACAUUUUGCCGCCGUGUUCUGAAUAUAGUAAAAUAGAUAAAAAAAUAAAAAACAUUGAAUCAA